AUGUCUUCUCGUAAUGAGGUUCUCUCUAUUUAUAAGUGUUUUGCCGCCAUGGUCCACACUCAGUUCUCUACACCUAUUCGUGUGUUUCGUGCUCAUUCUUCUGGCGAGUAUAUCUCCAAAAUGUUGCGUGGUUUUCUUGCUGAGCAAGGUACUCUUGCACAGUUCUCUUGUCCCGGUGCUCACGCUCAAAAUGGCGUGGCUGAGCACAAGCAUCGUCACCUUCUUGAGACAGCUCGUGCGAUGAUGAUUGCUGCCUCUCUUCCGCCCCAUUUCUGGGCUGAGGCUAUCUCCACUGCCACAUAUCUCAUAAACAUUCAACCCUCAUCUUCUCUACAAGGAGGUAUUCCUCUAGAGCGUCUUUUUGAUCAUUCUCCUGAAUAUUCUACUCUUCGGUUGUUUGGUUGUGUUUGUUAUGUUCUCCUUGCCCCCGGAGAACGGACCAAACUAACCGCUCAGUCUGUCGAGUGUGUUUUUCUGGGCUAUAGUGAUGAGCAUAAGGGUUAUCAGUGUUGGGAUCCUGUGGGUCGACGGAUGCGUAUUUCUAGGGAUGUAACUUUUGAUGAGUCUCGUUCAUUCUACCCAUGA
rnacentral:rRNA from 1 species